rnacentral:rRNA from 1 species
UGAGGAAUUUUGCACAAUGGGGGAAACCCUGAUGCAGCGACGCCGCGUGUAGGAUGACGGGGCUUUGCCCUGUAAACUACUGUCAGAAGGGAAGAAAAGUCUGCUAGGCGGACUGGGACAGUACCUUCAGAGGAAGGACCGGCUAACUACGUGCCAGCAGCCGCGGUAAUACGUAGGGUCCAAGCGUUGUCCGGAAUUACUGGGUAUAAAGGGUGCGCAGGCGGGCCUGUGCGUCAGGGGUUAAAUAUUCCGGCUUAACCGGAAAAAUGCCCUUGAUACGGCAGGUCUUGAAUACGAGAGAGGAUGAUAGAAUUCCUGGUGUAGCGGUGAAAUGCGUAGAUAUCAGGAGGAAUACCAGUGGCGAAGGCGGUCAUCUGGCUCGUUAUUGACGCUCAGGCACGAAAGCGUGGGGAGCAAACA